UAAAAAUUUAAAUUAAAAUAUUUAAGUAGUAUUAGUUAAGUUCUUGAAAUUUAAAAAAUUUGGCGGUAUUUUAGUCUAUUCAGAGGAACCUGUUUUUUAAUCGAUAAUCCACGAUGGAUCUCACUUAAAUUUGUUUUUAUAGUUUAUAUAUCGUUGUUUAUAGAAUAUUUUAUAAGAAUAAUAAUUUUCUUAAUUUUUAAUUAAAAAUUAUAUCAAAUCAAGAUGUAGCUUAUGUUUAAGUUUAUAAUGGGUUACAGUUAUUUUAUUAUUGGAUUUAGAUUUUAAAUAAUUUAUUGAAAUUGGAUUUGAUAGUAAAUUUAUAAAGAUAGAUAAAUUGAUUAUAGCUCUAAAAUAUGC
rnacentral:rRNA from 1 species